AACGAUACCCCCUGUCGAAACGCAACUGUGGUUGAUUUAGUUCUUAACGCGUAAUUGUUUUAACAGGAAACUGUCAUUUUUAUUUAGAAUUUCAAAGCCGAGGAGGAAUGUUUAUGCUUAAAUCAUGUUUUGCCGUUUUCUUUUGAAUAAUAAUUGCAUGUUAACCUUGUGAACUCACAAUUAAUAAACACUACUAUAUAAGUAAAGCUGAUGCGAUGUUAUUCUAAACGGUGGAGAAUUACUUGAUUUACUACAGUGAGUAUAUCGUUACUAAGCAUUCUAAGAUGUCUUUUGUUGAAGGAAAACUGGUACGGUUGACGCUUGUAUUCUUAAUUUGCUUUGUUUUCAUGGAUACAACUAGCGCAGGAUGUUGUCGUAAAUUUAAAGAAAAGUACUGCAAAGACUGCACUAAAGGUACUCCUUGUUGUGGAUAUGAUAAAUGUAACAUAUUCUGUUGUGGAUGUAGGUGUCGUACAGAACCGAGCGGUAAAGAUUGUUUUGUACGUGAUGGUGCAUGUAAGUGUUACAAGGCAAAAGGAAAACGUAGCGCACCAUUUGCUACUACCGACAUGUCUGCUUAUGUGACGUUUAUGGGUCUAGACAUCAACAAGAAUGGAAUGAUGGAACAGUUUGAGUUCACUACAGCAUUGGAACAGAGGCAAAUAACGGACAACGCGACCGUGUUUCAUCACUGGUCAAUCAUGGACGAAGAUAAAGAUGGAAUUAUUAGUCUUGAAGAAUUUGACCGAGAAAAAUUGUAGUUUGCCUGGAACAUAGUUUGUUAUAAGUAAAAAUGAUAUUGAAGAGGCGGAAAGUUUUCAAAUUUGAAAUAAAACGAAACAAAAUAUUGCA